rnacentral:lncRNA from 1 species
AUGCCCGCUAUUCUGCUUCAGCCCCUGCCGCCCCCUGUCCCAGAGCGGUCUCGGAGCCCUUCCUUUCCCCCGCUGGGCUUUUCUCGUGCUUCGCUUCCUCUGCGGUUCCGUACCGCUGCCGCCGCGCCGCGCCGUUGGUGUGGGAGCCGGGUGAAAGAGACAGAGCCCAGCGCCCACCGAAGCGAAGCGCAGCUCCUCUCCGCUCUGUUACAGAUCCUCAGCUCCAGGGUACCUGAUUUUCAUUUUCAUCACUUCAUUCAGCUUUCUCAGCAAGGAAGAUUGGCCUCUUCACUGGAAGACCUUUGUCAGUGGCAUAUGCAUUUCAGAGGACUUCCACCUUCUUUGUACAAGCUUGGUGAAAUACAUCAAGGCAUGGCUUCGUCUGGCUCGUUUAUUUUUCACUGGGAGCUUCCGUGCCACAGAGGAUUUUGGUUUGAACUUUCCAUUUUCUUCAGAGGAUGAGAGGCUGAAGCCUGCAGGAUAAGCAGUAACAUCUAAUGUGGCACAACUGCUCUGAAGAUAAACUAAAUGACUGUUGAAUACAAGUAGUAGUAAACAGGUGGGGUCAUUUGAAACUGUAGCUGCUCACUCACUAUGAAAGACAGGAAAGAAAUAGUUAAUGUUUCUUUCUUUUCUAGGUGGGAGAGGUGAUCUUUAUCACAAUUUUCCCCUAGCUGUACUAAUAACAAUCACCUGAGGCAGGAGAGGUAUGUGUAUUUUAAAAGGCAGCAGUAGUUGCCUCUGGUCACAGAAGGAAAGGAGGAAUUUGAAACUGAGUUUUACUUGUUUUCUAUCCAGAAGCAGGAAGCUCUUUUGAUAGAAAUAAUUUUUGUG